AGUGAACGCUGGCGGUAGGCCUAACACAUGCAAGUCGAACGGCAGCACAGUAAGAGCUUGCUCUUACGGGUGGCGAGUGGCGGACGGGUGAGGAAUACAUCGGAAUCUACUUUUUCGUGGGGGAUAACGUAGGGAAACUUACGCUAAUACUGCAUACGACCUACGGGUGAAAGCAGGGGAUCUUCGGACCUUGCGCGAUUGAAUGAGCCGAUGUCGGAUUAGCUAGUUGGCGGGGUAAAGGCCCACCAAGGCGACGAUCCGUAGCUGGUCUGAGAGGAUGACCAGCCACACUGGAACUGGGACACGGUCCAGACUCCUACGGGAGGCAGCAGUGGGGAAUAUUGGACAAUGGGCGCAAGCCUGAUCCAGCCAUACCGCGUGGGUGAAGAAGGCCUUCGGGUUGUAAAGCCCUUUUGUUGGGAAAGAAAAGCAGCAGGUUAAUACCCCGCUGUUCUGACGGUACCCAAAGAAUAAGCACCGGCUAACUUCGUG
rnacentral:rRNA from 1 species